rnacentral:rRNA from 1 species
CUGCUGCCUCCCGUAGGAGUCUGGACCGUGUCUCAGCUCCAGUGUGGCUGGUCAUCCUCUCAGACCAGCUAGGGAUCGUCGCCUAGGUGAGCCGUUACCCCACCUACUAGCUAAUCCCAUCUGGGCACAUCCGAUGGCAAGAGGCCCGAAGGUCCCCCUCUUUGGUCUUGCGACGUUAUGCGGUAUUAGCUACCGUUUCCAGUAGUUAUCCCCCUCCAUCAGGCAGUUUCCCAGACAUUACUCACCCGUCCG